AUUGAACGCUGGCGGCAGGCCUAACACAUGCAAGUCGAGCGGAUGAAGGGAGCUUGCUCCUGGAUUCAGCGGCGGACGGGUGAGUAAUGCCUAGGAAUCUGCCUGGUAGUGGGGGAUAACGUCCGGAAACGGGCGCUAAUACCGCAUACGUCCUGAGGGAGAAAGUGGGGAUUUUCGGACCUCAAGCUUUCCGAUGAGCCUAGGUCGGAUUAGCUAGUUGGUGGGGUAAAGGCCUACCAAGGCGACGAUCCGUAACUGGUCUGAGAGGAUGAUCAGUCACACUGGAACUGAGACACGGUCCAGACUCCUACGGGAGGCAGCAGUGGGGAAUAUUGGACAAUGGGCGAAAGCCUGAUCCAGCCAUGCCGCGUGUGUGAAGAAGGUCUUCGGAUUGUAAAGCACUUUAAGUUGGGAGGAAGGGCAGUAAGUUAAUACCUUGCUGUUUUGACGUUACCAACAGAAUAAGCACCGGCUAACUUCGUG
rnacentral:rRNA from 1 species